CGACACACGGUGCGGAGCCUCGACGCGAAAGGACACAUCACUACCCGCACUGUCCCGCUGGGAGCGCUGCGCGGCAACCGACACCGUCCGAGAGAAGAGAGCGCGCCGGGGUCGGAAUGGAGCUCAUCACGAUCCUCGAGAAAACCGUCUCUCCAGAUCGGAUUGAACUGGAAGCGGCUCAGAAGUUUCUGGAGCAGGCGGCGGUGGAGAACCUGACCACAUUCCUGGUGGAGUUGUCGAAGGUGUUAGCGAACCCUGGGAACACCCAGGUGGCCCGAGUCGCUGCCGGUCUACAGGUGAAGAACUCUCUGACCUCCAAGGACCCAGAUGUUAAGACGCGGUACCAGCAGAGAUGGCUGGCCAUCGACGCCAAUGCUCGUCGUGAGAUCAAGAACUAUGUUUUACAGACUCUGGGCACGGAGACGUAUCGGCCGAGCUCGGCGUCGCAGUGCGUCGCCGGGAUCGCCUGCGCAGAGAUUCCAGUUAACCACUGGCCCGAGCUCAUCCCACAGCUGGUGGCCAACGUCACUGACCCGUCGAGCACCGAACACAUGAAGGAGUCGACGCUGGAGGCCAUUGGAUACAUCUGUCAGGACAUCGACCCAGAGCAGCUGCAGGAAAACGCCAACCAGAUCCUGACAGCCAUCAUCCAGGGCAUGAGGAAGGAGGAGCCGAGCAACAACGUCAAGCUGGCAGCGACCAACGCUCUGCUCAACUCUCUGGAGUUCACCAAAGCAAAUUUUGACAAGGAGACAGAGAGACACUUCAUCAUGCAGGUGGUGUGUGAAGCGACGCAGUGUCCAGACACCAGAGUGCGUGUGGCGGCCUUACAGAACCUGGUGAAGAUCAUGUCUCUGUAUUAUCAGUACAUGGAGACGUACAUGGGCCCCGCCCUGUUCGCGAUCACCAUUGAGGCGAUGAAGAGUGACAUCGAUGAGGUGGCGUUACAGGGCAUUGAGUUCUGGUCCAACGUCUGUGACGAGGAGAUGGACCUGGCCAUCGAGGCGUCGGAGGCCUCGGAGCAGGGGCGCCCCCCUGAGCACACCAGUAAAUUCUAUGCUAAAGGGGCCCUGCAGUACCUGGUCCCCAUCCUCACUCAGACCCUCACCAAACAGGAUGAGAAUGACGACGAUGAUGACUGGAACCCGUGUAAGGCGGCCGGUGUGUGUCUGAUGCUGCUGGCCACCUGCUGUGAGGACGACGUGGUUCCACACGUUCUGCCCUUCAUCAAAGAACACAUCAAACACCCCGACUGGCGCUACCGCGAUGCCUCUGUCAUGGCCUUUGGAUCCAUCCUGGAAGGACCUGAACUCAACCAGCUCAAACCGCUCGUUAUACAGGCGAUGCCCACUCUGAUUGAGCUGAUGAAGGACCCCAGUGUGGUGGUGAGGGACACCACGGCGUGGACCGUGGGGCGGAUCUGUGAGCUGCUGCCUGAAGCUGCCAUUAACGAUUUGUACCUCUCCCCCCUGCUGCGGUGUCUGAUCGAGGGCCUGGAGGCGGAGCCCCGGGUGGCGUCCAAUGUCUGCUGGGCCUUCUCUUCUCUGGCUGAAGCCGCCUAUGAGGCCACAGAUGCUGCCGAGGACCAGGAGGAGCCCAGCACCUACUGUCUGUCCACGUCCUUUGAGCUCAUCGUCCAGAAACUCCUGGAAACCACAGACAGGCCUGACGGUCACCAGAACAACCUGCGCUCCGCCGCCUACGAGGCUCUAAUGGAGAUCGUGAAGAACAGCGCUAAGGACUGUUACCCGGCGGUGCAGAAGACCACCCUGGUCAUCAUGGAGCGGCUGCAGCAGGUCCUGCAGAUGGAGUCUCACAUCCAGAGCACCUCCGACAGAAUCCAGUUCAACGACCUGCAGUCGCUGCUGUGUGCCACUCUACAGAACGUUCUGCGUAAAGUUCAGCAUCAGGACGCUCUGCAGAUCUCAGACGUGGUCAUGGGUUCACUGCUCCGCAUGUUCCAGAGCACCGCCGGCUCCGGGGGCGUUCAGGAGGACGCUCUGAUGGCCGUGUCCACACUGGUGGAAGUUCUGGGCGGAGACUUCCAGAAGUACAUGGAGGCCUUCAAGCCGUUUCUCGCCAUCGGACUGAAGAACUUCGCAGAGUAUCAGGUGUGUCUGGCGGCGGUGGGCCUGGUGUGUGACCUGUGCAGAGCUCUGAUGUCAAACAUCCUGCCCUACUGUGAUGAGAUGAUGCAGCUGCUGCUGGAGAACCUGGGGAACGAGAACGUCCACCGCUCAGUGAAGCCUCAGAUCCUGUCUGCGUUCGGCGACAUCGCUCUGGCCAUUGGAGGAGAGUUUAAGAAGUACCUGGACAUCGUGUUGGACACGCUGCAGCAGGCGUCACAGGCUCAGGUCGACAAGACGGACUACGACAUGGUGGACUACCUGAACGAGCUGAGGGAGGGUUGUCUGGAGGCCUACACCGGAAUCAUCCAGGGUCUGAAGGGCGACCAGGAGAACGUCCACCCUGACGUGAUGCUCAUUCAGCCACGAGUCGAGUUCAUUCUGUCCUUCAUCCAUCACAUAGCAGAGGACGAGGACCACUCUGACGGCGUGGUGGCCAACGCUGCCGGGCUCAUCGGCGACCUGUGCACGGCGUUCGGUAAAGACGUGAUGAAGCUGGUGGAGGUUCGUCCGCUCAUCAACGACCUGCUGACGGAGGGUCGACGCUCCAAAACCUCCAAGACCAAGACGCUCGCCACCUGGGCCACGAAGGAACUCCGCAAGCUCAAGAGCCAGGCCUGGUCAGACACACACACUAACCCAUCUACUAACAAGGAGCAGGCAGGGGUCAAGACCUAUACUGCAGCCAGCCACCAGGGGGCAAACCAGAGCCCUUAUGUUGUCCCUCUGUAUUUGGUCCUUAAGUCAUGUGACCAACAGAACAUUUGUUGAUGUGUUUCAGAUGCUUGUUGGAGAAGACAGGGGGCGCUGUGAGAGAUCGACAUGCGUGAACGAUGAGGAAAAACUUUAGCUUCUGUUCGUCGGUCGAAGACGAGUGAGUGUGUGUGAGAGAGAGAGAGAGAGAGAGAGACACGUUUGAGAGAACGAGCGAGAGAUGAUGACGUCACACAACCCUAAAGUCCAGCAGGCGACGACCCCCUCUCCCCCCCUCUUCUGGACAGCCUGUGGACUGGACUCUGACUCCCCCUCCUCUCCCUUUAAAACAAACUUACCUUCAAGCCUGCCCCCCCCCCCCCAUCCACCUCUCUCGCUGUAGCUGGGCUCUCCUUUGACGUCACGACGAUGUCGCCACCCCCCCCAACAUCGGGGCAGGUGGGGGGUGAGGAGGGGAAACGGAUAAAAACCCGACAAGAAAAUGAGACUUGGAGCGGACUAAGAGGAAAACGUUUUUUGUUGCUCUUCUUUUUUCUUCUUCCGAGCACUAACCCAGCGAAGGAGGCGGAGCUUCUGUCUGCCUCCUCGCUCCCGACAACAGCAGCACUAAAUCACUUCAAAGUAAAAGUCCAGACCUCCCGAGGAACGGUCGAGGAGCGAGUGCCAAAUGGAAAAUAAAAGUUCUGGUGAUUUGGGUCUCUGUCGUCUGUCGGACUCCUGGACCGGACCGAACCGGACCGAACCGGACUCUGAACUUUGUUUACGCCACAAAUGACCAGGAUCUUUUUUUUUCCUUUUUCUUUUUUUUAUUCCUCGGCCGUCACUCCUCGGACAGUUCUCUUGUUCGGGGGGGCAUUGUAGUUCAGCACCGCCGCCUCUGGAUCGCUUUCAGUCCCCAGCCCGACCUCACACCUUCAACCACAGGAGAGGAAGUCUAAAUUGAACUUGAGCCUUUGAGUUGACGGUUAAAUGUUUCCAGCCUCAUAGGGCUCUUAUUUUGAAGAGGUGUGGCGGACGUAGGGAGAAAUUCCUGUGUUGACAUGAACCUGCAAACUUGGUGUUCAUUGAAUUGUGAAUCAUUUAAAGCUGUUCUGCUUUUUACUUCAUAAUCAACUCUAGUGAACUAAUAAAGUC